rnacentral:tRNA from 1 species
GCGCCAGUAGCUCAGCAGGACAGAGCAGGAGCCUUCUAAGCUCAAGGCCGGGGGUUCGAGUCCCUCCUGGCGCGCCA